rnacentral:rRNA from 1 species
GAUGAACGCUGGCGGCGUGCCUAACACAUGCAAGUCGAGCGAUUUACUUCGGUAAAGAGCGGCGGACGGGUGAGUAACGCGUGGGUAACCUGCCCUGUACACACGGAUAACAUACCGAAAGGUAUGUUAAUACGAGAUAACAUACUUUUAUCGCAUGGUAGAAGUAUCAAAGCUCUGGCGGUACAGGAUGGACCCGCGUCUGAUUAGCUAGUUGGUAAGGUAACGGCUUACCAAGGCGACGAUCAGUAGCCGACCUGAGAGGGUGAUCGGCCACAUGGGAACUGAGACACGGUCCAAACUCCUACGGGAGGCAGCAGUGGGGAAUAUUGCACAAUGGGCGAAAGCCUGAUGCAGCAGCGCCGCGUGAGCGAUGAAGGCCUUCGGGUCGUAAAGCUCUGUCCUCAAGGAAGAUAAUGACGGUACUUGAGGAGGAAGCCCCGGCUAACUACGUGCCAGCCGCCGCCGUAA